GGUUGAUCCUGCCAGUAGUCAUAUGCUUGUCUAAAAGAUUAAGCCAUGCAUGUCUAAGUAUAAACUGUUUAUACAAGUGAAACUGCGAAUGGCUCAUUAAAUCAGUUAUAAUUUAUUUGAUAGUACCCUUUUACUACUUGGAUAACCGUGGUAAUUCUAGAGCUAAUACAUGCCUUGAAAAGUCCUGACCUUUAUGGAAGGGAUGCAGUUAUUAGAUACAAAACCAACCCGGGCAACCGGUUUAUUGGUGAUUCAUGAUAACUUUGCGAAUCGCAUAGCCUUUGUGCUGGCG
rnacentral:rRNA from 1 species